GAUGAACGCUAGCGGCAGGCUUAACACAUGCAAGUCGAGGGGCAGCGCGGGAUAGCAAUAUCCUGGCGGCGACCGGCGGAAGGGUGCGUAACGCGUGAGCGACAUGCCCGUUGCCCGGGGACAACCGGUGGAAACGCCGACUAAUCCCCGAUGGGAUACGAUGCUUCAUGGCAUUGUAUUGAAAGUUACGGCGGCGACGGAUUGGCUCGCGUCCGAUUAGCUGGUUGGCGGGGUAACGGCCCACCAAGGCUGCGAUCGGUAGGGGUUCUGAGAGGAAGGCCCCCCACAAGGGGACUGAGACACGGCCCAUACUCCUAAGGGAGGCAGCAGUGAGGAAUAUUGGACAAUGGGCGGAAGCCUGAACCAGCCAUGCCGCGUGCGGGAAGGAGGCCCUAUGGGCUGUGAACCGCUUUUGCCUGGGGGCAAUAAGGGCGUCGCGCACGUCCGAUGAGAGUACCAGGCGAAUAAGCAUCGGCUAACUCCGUG
rnacentral:rRNA from 1 species